rnacentral:rRNA from 1 species
UAGCCACGGUAAUACCAGCUCCCCCGAGUGGUCGGGGACGUUUAUUGGGCCUAAAAGCAUCCGUAGCCGGUCUUGUAGGUCUUCUGUUAAAACCCAACGGCCCAACCGUUGGACUGCAGAAGAUACCGCAGGACUAGGAGGCGGGAGAGGCGGACGGUACUCCAUGGGUAGGGGUAAAAUCCUUUGAUCCAUGGAAGACCACCAGUGGCGUAGAC